GAGGGUAUAGCUCAAGUGGUAGAGCACAUGCUCAGUGUGCAUAAGGUCCUGGGUUCAAUCCCCAGUACCUCCU
rnacentral:tRNA from 1 species